GACCGCCAGUGAAAAUCGAUUUUCACUGGCGGUUUUAUUACGCCGACCGCUAGUGAAAAUCGAUUUUCACUGGCGGUC
rnacentral:pre_miRNA from 7 species